rfam:Dipodomys ordii contig_63035, whole genome shotgun sequence.
GGUGGCUCAGUGGUAGAGCACUUGCCUUGCAUGCAUGAGGCCCUGGGUUCAAUUCCCCAGUACCA